UUAAGCGACUAAGCGUACACGGUGGAUGCCCUGGCAGUCAGAGGCGAUGAAGGACGUGCUAAUCUGCGAAAAGCGUCGGUAAGGUGAUAUGAACCGUUAUAACCGGCGAUGUCCGAAUGGGGAAACCCAGUGCAAUUCGUUGCACUAUCGUUAACUGAAUACAUAGGUUAACGAGGCGAACCGGGGGAACUGAAACAUCUAAGUACCCCGAGGAAAAGAAAUCAACCGAGAUUCCCCCAGUAGCGGCGAGCGAACGGGGAGCAGCCCAGAGUCUGAAUCAGCUUGUGUGUUAGUGGAACGGUCUGGAAAGUCCGACGGUACAGGGUGAUAGUCCCGUACACCAAAAUGCACAGGCUGUGAACUCGAAGAGUAGGGCGGGACACGUGGUAUCCUGUCUGAAUAUGGGGGGACCAUCCUCCAAGGCUAAAUACUCCUGACUGACCGAUAGUGAACCAGUACCGUGAGGGAAAGGCGAAAAGAACCCCGGCGAGGGGAGUGAAAAAGAACCUGAAACCGUGUACGUACAAGCAGUGGGAGCACCUUCGGGUGUGACUGCGUACCUUUUGUAUAAUGGGUCAGCGACUUAUAUUCUGUAGCAAGGUUAACCGUAUAGGGGAGCCGCAGGGAAACCGAGUCUUAACUGGGCGUUAAGUUGCAGGGUAUAGACCCGAAACCCGGUGAUCUAGCCAUGGGCAGGUUGAAGGUUGGGUAACACUAACUGGAGGACCGAACCGACUAAUGUUGAAAAAUUAGCGGAUGACUUGUGGCUGGGGUGAAAGGCCAAUCAAACCGGGAGAUAGCUGGUUCUCCCGAAAGCUAUUUAGGUAGCGCCUCGUGAACUCAUCUUCGGGGUAGAGCACUGUUUCGGCUAGGGGUCAUCCCGACUUACCAACCCGAUGCAAACUACGAAUACCGAAGAAUGUUAUCACGGAGACACACGGCGGGUGCUAACGUCCGUCGUGAAGAGGGAAACAACCCAGACCGCCAGCUAAGGUCCCAAAGUCAUGGUUUGGGAAACGAUGUGGGAAGGCACAGACAGGGAUGUUGGCUUAGAAGCAGCCAUCAUUUAAAGAAAGCGUAAUAGCUCACUGGUCGAGUCGGCCUGCGCGGAAGAUGUAACGGGCUAAACCAUGCACCGAAGCUGCGGCAGCGACACUAUGUGUUGUUGGGUAGGGGAGCGUUCUGUAAGCCUGCGAAGGUGUGCUGUGAGGCAUGCUGGAGGUAUCAGAAGUGCGAAUGCUGACAUAAGUAACGAUAAAGCGGGUGAAAAGCCCGCUCGCCGGAAGACCAAGGGUUCCUGUCCAACGUUAAUCGGGCAGGGUGAGUCGACCCUAAGGCGAGGCCGAAAGGCGUAGUCGAUGGGAAACAGGUUAAUAUUCCUGUACUUGGUGUUACUGCGAAGGGGGACGGAGAAGGCUAUGUUAGCCGGGCGACGGUUGUCCCGGUUUAAGCAUGUAGGCUGAUUGUGCAAAUCCGGAUAAUCAAGGCUGAGGUGUGAUGACGAGGCACUACGGUGCUGAAGUAACAAAUGCCCUGCUUCCAGGAAAAGCCUCUAAGCAUCAGGUAACAUUAAAUCGUACCCCAAACCGACACAGGUGGUCAGGUAGAGAAUACCAAGGCGCUUGAGAGAACUCGGGUGAAGGAACUAGGCAAAAUGGUGCCGUAACUUCGGGAGAAGGCACGCUGGUGUAGGUGAAGUCCCUGCGGAUGGAGCUGAGACCAGUCGAAGAUACCAGCUGGCUGCAACUGUUUAUUAAAACACAGCACUGUGCAAACACGAAAGUGGACGUAUACGGUGUGACGCCUGCCCGGUGCCGGAAGGUUAAUUGAUGGGGUUAUCCGUAAGGAGAAGCUCUUGAUCGAAGCCCGGUAAACGGCGGCCGUAACUAUAACGGUCCUAAGGUAGCGAAAUUCCUUGUCGGGUAAGUUCCGACCUGCACGAAUGGCGUAAUGAUGGCGCUGUCUCCACCCGAGACUCAGUGAAAUUGAACUCGCUGUGAAGAUGCAGUGUACCCGCGGCAAGACGGAAAGACCCCGUGAACCUUUACUAUAGCUUGACACUGAACAUUGAGCCUUGAUGUAGGAUAGGUGGGAGGCUUUGAAGCGUGGACGCCAGUCUGCGUGGAGCCAACCUUGAAAUACCACCCUUUAAUGUUUGAUGUUCUAACGUUGGCCCCUGACCGGGGUUGCGGACAGUGUCUGGUGGGUAGUUUGACUGGGGCGGUCUCCUCCCAAAGCGUAACGGAGGAGCACGAAGGUUAGCUAAUCUGGUCGGACAUCAGGAGGUUAGUGCAAUGGCAUAAGCUAGCUUGACUGCGAGCGUGACGGCGCGAGCAGGUGCGAAAGCAGGUCAUAGUGAUCCGGUGGUUCUGAAUGGAAGGGCCAUCGCUCAACGGAUAAAAGGUACUCCGGGGAUAACAGGCUGAUACCGCCCAAGAGUUCAUAUCGACGGCGGUGUUUGGCACCUCGAUGUCGGCUCAUCACAUCCUGGGGCUGAAGUAGGUCCCAAGGGUAUGGCUGUUCGCCAUUUAAAGUGGUACGCGAGCUGGGUUUAGAACGUCGUGAGACAGUUCGGUCCCUAUCUGCCGUGGGCGCUGGAGAAUUGAGGGGGGCUGCUCCUAGUACGAGAGGACCGGAGUGGACGCAUCACUGGUGUUCGGGUUGUCAUGCCAAUGGCACUGCCCGGUAGCUAAAUGCGGAAGAGAUAAGUGCUGAAAGCAUCUAAGCACGAAACUUGCCCCGAGAUGAGUUCUCCCUGAGACUUUAAGUCUCCUGAAGGAACGUUAAAGACGAUGACGUUGAUAGGCCGGGUGUGUAAGCGCAGCGAUGCGUUGAGCUAACCGGUACUAAUGAACCGUGAGGCUUAACCU
rnacentral:rRNA from 1 species